GUAAUUUCUGCAAAAAAAAUUGAGUCACCUCUCAACGUCCAUCUCAAAACAGAUGCGCCCUGGACUAUAAAGAUAUAAUUGACACAUUAACCGGAUGGCAGAGACCAGAAUAUUUAAAUAGACCAAGAGAAGUCACCAAUCAGAAGAAGCGCAGAUCGACGUCGAAAGAGAAGGAAUGGUAAUAUUCCAACACAGUAAGAGGCAACGUUGAAGAAAACAGGCAGUAUGAGUAAACAACAGAAAAAUACUAUAACAAAAGAACAACGAAGAACACGGGCAAUUCCCUAGUUUUUCUCUAAUAGUUCCCAAAUUGUUAACAGUGGAGUAGAAAAGAUACAGUAAUACUUCCCAAUAUGUCAGAUAAUCCACAAAUGAUUUUAUGUUCCAUUUCCAAAAAGAAUGCGUGACACAGUGAGAAGAGAACUGCCUCGUUUUUGGGCAAGAGGUAAUAGAUUUCUUCGUCUCUCAAUAAUGCAACAGUUACUUAAGUGUUACUGUAGCAAAAGACAUAAUUACUCAACUCCGUCGGUCACCUUACAAUCUCUAUCUAACAUCCUGUGAUUUUUUUCUUGUUUACAAAACUGUUCGAAGAGACACCGAUCUCAAAAUUCAUUAAACCUUAGAGACUUCGGUGCUGGUCUUGUAGUGAGAAUAGAGUCCGAAAGAUCGCUGAAGAGUCCUCGGUAGUAAAAUGCAGGGUGCAAGACCAAAAGGAAGGCCACGGAAAAGGUGGGAGGAAAAAGUGACAGCGGACGCGCAAGAUUUGCUAGACCUGGAGAAAAUCGGUGCGGGAGAUAGAGAGAGAGAGAGAGAGAGAGAGAGAGAGAGAGAAAAGAUGCAGUAAUACUUCCUAAUAGGUCAGAUAAUCCCCAAAGAAUUUUAGGUUUUAGUUCCAAAAACAAUGCGAGACGCAGUGAGAAGAAAACAUCCUCGUUUUUUGAACAAGAGCCCAUAGAUUCUUCAUAUCUCAAUAAUGCAACAGUUACUUAACUGUGACUGACCAAACACACGAUUACUCAUCUGGGACAGUCUCCCUACAGUCUCGACAUAACACCCUAUGACUUUUUCGUAUUUACAAAACUGAAAAUUAUGAACAAAAUAGAGAUGAUUCAAAUGCGACGAUAUCAUUGAAGACCAUCACAAAAACCUCAGAACCGCUUCAGUAACUUACGAGCCCGUUCACAUGACAGGCGCUUAACGCGCGAUUACAAUUACAUACAUUUUACUCGAGACCGUUCACAUGCUAACUUUUGCGUCAUGCUUUCUCCCGUCAAAACGCGUGUUAAGCGCUUGUCAUGAAAACGGGUCUAACGCACCGAUGGGAGUGUAUUGUUAAGUAAAAUUGACAUUACUUCGAUGGAUGCCACAAGCUAAAUAACGAAGAAUAAAGGGGUUAUGAGCGAAGGUAGGAUACUUUUGGGACAGAUCUCGUACAAUACAUUUAAAAAAUCCAUUUUAAUUUGUAUAUAUAUUUACCAUAAACAAUAAAGCAUAUCAAUUCCUAUAUAAAUAAAAGACAGUAAAAAAUUUUAGACAUAACUCUACUGAACGUUUUGCACUUUUUAAUCGAAUGUUAAAUGCUAAAAAUCUUACAGUGUAUAUCACAACAAAAACCCUAAUAAGAAGUCCGGAAAUACAUCUUUAGUUUACAAUUUUAUAUACAUGCAAUUUCGAUAUCAAUCAACAAAAUACAUCUAUGGUACAUCGAUGAAAUGGCCAAUAUUUAUAAAAAAUAAAAUAUAACAAUUCUUAGCAUUAAUGGCAACAGCGAAUUUGUAUAAAAAUGACUUGGUAGGGCACACAAUAAAAUGGAUAUUAUAAAAAUGGUUAAAAAAAAUAAAAUUUCCUGGAGAUACCGUCAUGAUGGUGUAAAAUAAAGAUGACCUACAAGGACUAAUAGUCCGAUCAAGUUAGCUAAAAAAAAAAAAAAAAAAAAAA
rnacentral:lncRNA from 1 species